rnacentral:rRNA from 1 species
CCUACGGGAGGCAGCAGUGAGGAAUAUUGGUCAAUGGGCGUAAGCCUGAACCAGCCAAGUCGCGUGAGGGAUGAAGGUUCUAUGGAUCGUAAACCUCUUUUAUAAGGGAAUAAAGUGUGGGACGUGUCCUGUUUUGUAUGUACCUUAUGAAUAAGGAUCGGCUAACUCCGUGCCAGCAGCCGCGGUAAUACGGAGGAUCCGAGCGUUAUCCGGAUUUAUUGGGUUUAAAGGGUGCGUAGGCGGCCUUUUAAGUCAGCGGUGAAAGUCUGUGGCUCAACCAUAGAAUUGCCGUUGAAACUGGGAGGCUUGAGUAUGUUUGAGGCAGGCGGAAUGCGUGGUGUAGCCGUGAAAUGCUUAGAUCUCCCGCAGAACCCCGAUUGCGAAGGCAGCCUGCCAAGCCAUGACUGACGCUGAUGCACGAAAGCGUGGGGAUCAAACAGGAUUAGAUACCCGAGUAGUC